GAGCGAAUGGAUUAAGACUUGCUCUUAAUAAUAACCGCCGAACGGGUGAGUAACACGUGGGUAACCUGCCCAUAAGACUGGGAUAACUCCGGGAAACCGGGCUAAUACCGAUAACAUUUUGAACUGCAUGGUUCGAAAUUGAAAGGCGGCUUCGCUGUCACUUAUGGAUGGACCCGCGUCGCAUUAGCUAGUUGGUGAGGUAACGGCUCACCAAGGCAACGAUGCGUAGCCGACCUGAGAGGGUGAUCGGCCACACUGGGACUGAGACACGGCCCAGACUCCUACGGGAGGCAGCAGUAGGGAAUCUUCCGCAAUGGACGAAAGUCUGACGGAGCAACGCCGCGUGAGUGAUGAAGGCUUUCGGGUCGUAAAACUCUGUUGUUAGGGAAGAACAAGUGCUAGUUGAAUAAGCUGGCACCUUGACGGUACCUAACCAGAAAGCCACGGCUAACUACGUGCCAGCAGCCGCGGUAAUACGUAGGUGGCAAGCGUUAUCCGGAAUUAUUGGGCGUAAAGCGCGCGCAGGUGGUUUCUUAAGUCUGAUGUGAAAGCCCACGGCUCAACCGUGGAGGGUCAUUGGAAACUGGGAGACUUGAGUGCAGAAGAGGAAAGUGGAAUUCCAUGUGUAGCGGUGAAAUGCGUAGAGAUAUGGAGGAACACCAGUGGCGAAGGCGACUUUCUGGUCUGUAACUGACACUGAGGCGCGAAAGCGUGGGGAGCAAACAGGAUUAG
rnacentral:rRNA from 2 species